GCGGAAUUGGAGCCGGGAGCUGGGGGAAUGCGGGGGUGGCGAGAGUUAAGCGGGAUUACUGGGCGUAAGGCGGGCGUAGACGGUUGCGUAAGUCUGGUGUGAAAUCCCCGGGCGCAACCUGGGAAUUGCAUUCGGGACUGCGUAGCUGGGGUGCGGAAGAGGGAAGCGGAAUUUCCGGUGUAGCGGUGAAAUGCGUAGAUAUCGGAAGGAACAUCAGUGGCGAAAGCGGCUUCCUGGUCCAGCACCGACGUUCAGGCACGAAAGCGUGGGGAGCAAACAGGAUUAGAUACCCUUGUAGUC
rnacentral:rRNA from 1 species